rnacentral:miRNA from 1 species
UCCCCGGGUGAACAUUCAUCCGG